UACAGAGGUGGCAAGCGUUGUUCGGAAUUACUGGGCGUAAAGGGCGCGUAGGCGGCCUCGCAAGUCCCGUGUGAAAUCCCUCGGCUCAACUGAGGAAUGGCACGGGAAACUGCGGGGCUUGAGUUCGGGAGAGGGAAGCGGAAUUCCGGGUGUAGCGGUGAAAUGCGUAGAUAUCCGGAGGAACACCGGUGGCGAAGGCGGCUUCCUGGACCGAUACUGACGCUGAGGCGCGAAAGCCAGGGGAGCAAACGGG
rnacentral:rRNA from 1 species